rnacentral:rRNA from 1 species
UACGGAGGGGGCGAGCGUUAUUCGGAAUUAUUGGGCGUAAAGGGCAGGUAGGCGGCCCCAUAUGUCCUUUGUGAAAGCCCUCGGCUCAACCGAGGAAUUGCAGGGGAAACUGUGGGGCUUGAGUCCGGGAGAGGGUAGCGGAAUUCCCAGUGUAGCGGUGAAAUGCGUAGAUAUUGGGAGGAACACCAGUGGCGAAGGCGGCUACCUGGACCGGUACUGACGCUCAGCUGCGAAAGCUAGGGGAGCAAACGGG